rnacentral:rRNA from 1 species
CAGCCGCCGCGGGAAUACGAAGGGUGCAAGCGUUACUCGGAAUUACUGGGCGUAAAGCGUGCGUAGGUGGUGGUUUAAGUCCGUUGUGAAAGCCCUGGGCUCAACCUGGGAAUUGCAGUGGAUACUGGGUCACUAGAGUGUGGUAGAGGAUAGUGGAAUUUCCGGUGUAGCAGUGAAAUGCGUAGAGAUCGGAAGGAACAUCUGUGGCGAAGGCGGCCCCCUGGACAAAGACUGACGCUCAGGUGCGAAAGCGUGGGGAGCAAACAGGAUUAGAUACCCCUGUAGUCCCUGUCUCUUAUAC